rnacentral:misc_RNA from 1 species
ACAAAACCUACUCCACAAACACCAUCGAAACACAUCAUCCAAAAUUAGAACUUCUCUCUCAAUUACAUCUUCGGCAAAACAGUAGAGUCAGAUGGAAGGCCAGGUUCCGCCUCAAGGUAUUUUGUUAACAAGGUGGCCGUGCUGAAAUUAAAGCCCUUUAUCGGCUCCCCCUUGGUUCGAGAGAGGUUUAGUUGCUUCCUCACUUGCGAGGCCAGUGACUUGCCUAACUCAACACCCCACUGGUCAAAUGAGUUGAUGCCCCAUAUAAAACCUUCAACAGCAAUUCUGUGCUCAUAAAUAGCCAACAGCUGUCCAACAUUAUAAG